rnacentral:rRNA from 1 species
CCUACGAGAGGCAGCAGUGAGGAAUAUUGGUCAAUGGACGCAAGUCUGAACCAGCCAUGCCGCGUGCAGGAAGACGGCCCUAUGAGUUGUAAACUGCUUUUGUACGAGGGUAAACGCAGAUACGCGUAUCUGUCUGAAAGUAUCGUACGAAUAAGGAUCGGCUAACUCCGUGCCAGCAGCCGCGGGAAUACGGAGGAUUCAAGCGUUAUCCGGAUUUAUUGGGUUUAAAGGGUGCGUCGGCGGUCGGAUAAGUUAGAGGUGAAAUCCCGGGGCUCAACUUCGGAAGUGCCUCUGGUACUGUUCGGCUAGAGAGUAGUUGCGGUAGGCGGAAUGUAUGGUGUAGCGGUGAAAUGCUUAGAGAUCAUACAGAACACCGAUUGCGAAGGCAGCUUACCAAGCUACAUCUGACGUUGAGGCACGAAAGCGUGGGGAGCAAACAGGAUUAGAUACCCGAGUAGUC